AGCAUCUGGAGUUGGUAGAUUGGUGUCUUCCAGGGGAGACUGGUAUGUCAAGGGACUAUCGCAACCAACUAGAGACCUACUAUGGGACUCAUGGACGCCAGGUAUUCCCCCGAAAUAACUUAUCCGCAUGGAACACCUUGAGUUCGCUGGUGUAUGGGAAGGGACUGCGAUCCCUUUAUUACCCCUAUCUCCACGAUGCUGGAUCUUUAUCAUACCUUUUCACUACAGGCCGAUGGGAACGUUCCAUUAACGGGCUACGUUCCGCGAUUUCGACGAUGCAUAGCACGAUUCACGACACUCCGGUCAAUCAAGAGCAUUUGAUAUGCCAUUUUCUGUGGGGUAUCAAACCGUCCAGAACCAUGCGUCAAAGUAUCACUGGUGUGGGACUUUGAUUUGGUUCUUUUGGAGCUAGUCAGAUAUCACGGUCCUAUCCCUCAGUCAGCCAUUAGCCAGAGUCACGUUACUUUUAGGUCUUUUCGUCGGGUAUCAGAUGUACUGGAGUUCGACGUAGACGGUCUUUUCGGU